rnacentral:rRNA from 1 species
AGAGCGCAGGGUGGAUGCCUUGGCACUAAGAGCCGAAGAAAGACGUGAUAAGCUGCGAUAAGCUACGGUGAGGAGCAAAUAUCCAUUGACCCGUAGAUUUCUGAAUGGGGAAACCCGGCAGGAGAAACUCCUGUCACUGUAUGGUGAAUACAUAGCCAUAUAGAGGGAACCCGGUGAACUGAAACAUCUAAGUAGCCGGAGGAAGAGAAAACAACAGUGAUUUCCUAAGUAGCGGCGAGCGAACGGGAAAGAGCCCAAACCGGAUUGCGUGCAAUCCGGGGUUCGGACUGCAUACGUCAUUGUAAGAGGAUAACAGAAUGGUUUUGGGAAAGCCAGCCAGAGAGGGUGAAAGCCCCGUACGUGAAAUCUGAUUACAGGCAGCAGGAUCCAGAGUACCACGAGACACGUGGAACCUUGUGGGAACAAGCGGGGACCACCCCGUAAGGCUAAAUACUCCUUAGUGACCGAUAGCGCAUAGUACUGUGAAGGAAAGGUGAAAAGAACCCCGGGAGGGGAGUGAAAGAGAACCUGAAACCCUGUGUUUACAAGCUGUGGAACCACCCUAUGAGUGGAACCGCGUACUUUUUGUAGAACGGUCCGGCGAGUUAUGGUUGCUGGCAAGGUUAAGGACGAAAAGUCCGGAGCCGAAGGGAAACCGAGUCUUAAUAGGGCGCCAAGUCAGCAGACAUAGACCCGAAACCGGGUGACCUACCCAUGUCCAGGUUGAAGCCGCUGUAAAAGGCGGUGGAGGACCGAACGCACAUCUGUUGAAAAAGGUGGCGAUGAGGUGUGGGUAGCGGAGAAAUUCCAAUCGAACUCGGAGAUAGCUGGUUCUCCCCGAAAUAGCUUUAGGGCUAGCCUUGAGUUAGACAUAUGGAGGUAGAGCACUGAAUGGCCGCGGGGGCGUCAAAGCUUACCAAAGCCUAUCAAACUCCGAAUGCCAUGUUGCCGAUGCUCAGGAGUCAGACUGCACGAGAUAAGUUGGGUAGUCGAGAGGGAAACAGCCCAGACCUACAGCUAAGGUCCCAAAGUACAUGUUAAGUGGAAAAGGAUGUGGGACUUCGAAGACAACUAGGAUGUUGGCUCAGAAGCAGCCAUACAUUCAAAGAGUGCGUAAUAGCUCACUAGUCGAGAGGUCCUGCGCCGAAAAUGUCCGGGGCUAAAACACACUGCCGAAGCUUUGGAAUUGAGAAUUCAAUUGGUAGAGGAGCAUUCUUAAAGGGACGAAGCAGUACCGAAAGGAGCUGUGGACUUUUAAGAAGAGAGAAUGCCGGAAUGAGUAGCGAGAGGAAGGUGGGAAUCCUUCCGGCCGAAUAUCUAAGGUUUCCAGAGUAAAGCUGAUCUGCUCUGGGUAAGUCGGGACCUAAGGCGAGGACGAAAGUCGUAGUCGAUGGAUAACAGGUGGAGAUUCCUGUACUCCGUAUAAACAGAACUGUGGGGACACGGGUGGAAAGCCUGACCCGGGAAUGGAAAGACCGGGACAAGCGAGGUACCUGAUAAGGAGGCAAAUCCCCUUAUCAAUGGGAAGACGUGAUGUGGAGCGAACCAAAGGGUAGCGAAGCAGGUGAGCCAGCCGUCGAGAAAAGCCGCUAUUGUUUUGUACGGACCCGUACCGUAAACCGACACAGGUGGAUGAGGAGAGAAUCCUAAGGCCGACGGGAGAAGCAUUGUUAAGGAACUCGGCAAAAUGACCCCGUAACUUCGGGAGAAGGGGUGCCUGGGCAACCAGGCCGCAGAGAAUAGGCUCAAGCAACUGUUUAGCAAAAACACAGGUCUAUGCGAAACCGAAAGGUGAAGUAUAUGGGCUGACGCCUGCCCGGUGCUGGAAGGUUACGAGGAGUGCUUAGAGGCUUGCCUCGAAGGUGCGAAUUUAAGCCCCAGUAAACGGCGGCCGUAACUAUAACGGUCCUAAGGUAGCGAAAUUCCUUGUCGGGUAAGUUCCGACCCGCACGAAAGGCGUAAUGAUUUGGACGCUGUCUCGACAAUGCACCCGGUGAAAUUGAAAUACCAGUGAAGAUGCUGGUUACCCGCGCCAGGACGGAAAGACCCCAUGGAGCUUUACUCCAGUUUGAUACUGGGAUUCGGUACUGCACGUACAGGAUAGGUGGGAGACUGAGAACUAUGGACGCCAGUCUGUAGGGAGUCGCUGUUGGGAUACCACCCCUGUAGUACUGGGUUUCUAACCAUCUGCCGUGACCCGGCAGUGGGACAAUGUCAGGCGGGGAGUUUGACUGGGGCGGUCGCCUCCGAAAGGGUAUCGGAGGCGCUCAAA